GGGACAUCUGUGAGGGCAGUCUGGUUGAGACAUCUGUCACCCCACUAAUGCUAGAGCUGAUUCAGCUGAUCAGACUGGACAGGCAGGUGUCCCCUUCCCCUCCUCACUGCCCCAUGUACAUCUCUCCCAAAGCUGCACACUACAUCACUAAGUCGGAAAGGACAACUUUCCUGAGUAGAGAAGCUAGGUUUUUGGUUAAGGGUACACAAGUGGCUGCACUCCUCCACACAAGCUUACAAGUUCCCAGGCUACACAGCUAGGAUGUGAGAGGACCAGACACUGAGUCAGGCUGUCCCGAAGGUUCACCUGUCUACAGGACUCCUGUUC
ensembl:misc_RNA Gm22204 predicted gene, 22204